GACGAACGCUGGCGGCGUGCUUAACACAUGCAAGUCGAACGGAAAGGCCCUGCUUUUGUGGGGUGCUCGAUUGGCGAACGGGUGAGUAACACGUGAGUAACCUGCCCUUGACUUUGGGAUAACUUCAGGAAACUGGGGCUAAUACCGGAUAGGAGCUCCUGCUGCAUGUUGGGGGUUGGAAAGUUUCGGCGGUUGGGGAUGGACUCGCGGCUUAUCCGCUUGUUGGUGGGGUAGUGGCUUACCAAGGCUUUGACGGGUAGCCGGCCUGAGAGGGUGACCGGCCACAUUGGGACUGAGAUACGGCCCAGACUCCUACGGGAGGCAGCAGUGGGGAAUAUUGCACAAUGGGCGGAAGCCUGAUGCAGCAACGCCGCGUGCGGGAUGACGGCCUUCGGGUUGUAAACCGCUUUCGCAUGUGACGAAGCGUGAGUGACGGUAAUGGGUAAAGAAGCACCGGCUAACUACGUG
rnacentral:rRNA from 1 species